GCGUCUAUGGUCUAGCGGUAUGACUUCAGCCUUCCAAGCUGAAAACCCGGGUUCGAUUCCCGGUGGGCGCA
rnacentral:tRNA from 1 species